GACGAACGCUGGCGGCGUGCUUAACACAUGCAAGUCGAACGGAAAGGCCUCUUUCGGGGGGUACUCGAGUGGCGAACGGGUGAGUAACACGUGAGUAACCUGCCCUUGACUUUGGGAUAACUUCAGGAAACUGGGGCUAAUACCGGAUAGGAGCUCCUGCUGCAUGGUGGGGGUUGGAAAGUUUCGGCGGUUGGGGAUGGACUCGCGGCUUAUCAGCUUGUUGGUGGGGUAGUGGCUUACCAAGGCUUUGACGGGUAGCCGGCCUGAGAGGGUGACCGGCCACAUUGGGACUGAGAGACGGCCCAGACUCCUACGGGAGGAAGCAGUGGGGAAGAUUGCACAAUGGGUGGAAGCCUGAUGCAGCAACGCCGUGUGCGGGAUGACGGCCUUCGGGUUGUAAACCGCUUUCGCUCAUGACGAAGCUUUGUGUGACGGUAGUGGGUAAAGAAGCACCGGCUAACUACGUG
rnacentral:rRNA from 1 species